AUUGAACGCUGGCGGCAGGCUUUACACAUGCAAGUCGAACGAGUGGCGGACGGGUGAGUAAUGUCUGGGAACGUGCCUAGUAGAGGGGGAUAACUACUGGAAACGGUAGCUAAUACCGCAUACCAUCGGAUCUGCCGAUAUGGGAUUAGCUAGUAGGUGGGGUAAAGGCUCACCUAGGCAACGAUCCCUAGCUGGUCUGAGAGGAUGACCAGCCACACUGGAACUGAGACACGGCCCAGACUCCUACGGGAGGCAGCAGUGGGGAAUAUUGCACAAUGGGCGCAAGCCUGAUGCAGCCAUGCCGCGUGUAUGAAGAAGGCCCUAGGGUUGUAAAGUACUUUCAGUGGGGAGGCGUUACCCGCAGAAGAAGCACCGGCUAACUCCGUGCCAGCAGCCGCGGUAAUUC
rnacentral:rRNA from 1 species